rnacentral:ncRNA from 1 species
GUAGGUUUGGACUCUCGGGCCCGAACUGUUACAGUCCUCCGUUUGUCAUGGCCCGGACCUGACCGAGGAGCUUGCGGUGCAUGCCGUUCGGCUAGGGUCCCGUCUUCCCGGUCGGUCGUCGGAUGCNGGUGGACUGCGUGCAGUGCGCCGCGACUGCUGCCGGUCGCGAGGGCGGUGAUUUCGUACUAUGCACCCACGACGUUGGCGAUCAUAUGGCCUCAUCCGACCCGUCUUGAAACACGGACCAAGGAGUCUAACAUGUGUGCGAGUCUUUGAGUGAUCGAAACUCCGAGGCGUAAUGAAAGUGAAGGCGACUUCGGUCGCUGAGGUGAGAGCCUUUUACAAAAAAAAGGCGCAUCAUUGACCGACCUAUUCUACUCUUAGAAAGGUUUGAGUAAGAGCGCAUCUGUUGGGACCCGAAAGAUGGUGAACUAUGCCUGAAUAGGGUGAAGCCAGAGGAAACUCUGGUGGAGGCUCGUAGCGAUUCUGACGUGCAAAUCGAUCGUCAAAUUUGGGUAUAGGGGCGAAAGACUAAUCGAACUGUCUAGUAGCUGGUUCCCUCCGAAGUUUCCCUCAGGAUAGCUGGAACUUACGGCAGUUUUAUCAGGUAAAGCGAAUGAUUAGAGGUCUUAGGGUUAAAACAACCUUAACCUAUUCUCAAACUUUAAAUUGGUAAGAAGUCCGACU